GGCGCCAUCGUCUAGAGGCCUAGGACACAAGCUUUUCAAGCUUGUUACACGGGUUCGAAUCCCGUUGGCGCUA
rnacentral:tRNA from 4 species